GAGUUUGAUCCUGGCUCAGGAUGAACGCUGGCGGCGUGCUUAACACAUGCAAGUCGAGCGAAGCAUUUAGGAUGAUCUCUUCGGAUUGAGUCUUAUAUGACUGAGCGGCGGACGGGUGAGUAACGCGUGGGUAACCUGCCUCAUACAGGGGGAUAACAGUUAGAAAUGACUGCUAAUACCGCAUAAGCGCACAGGGCUGCAUGGCCUGGUGUGAAAAACUCCGGUGGUAUGAGAUGGACCCGCGUCUGAUUAGCUAGUUGGAGGGGUAACGGCCCACCAAGGCGACGAUCAGUAGCCGGCCUGAGAGGGUGAACGGCCACAUUGGGACUGAGACACGGCCCAGACUCCUACGGGAGGCAGCAGUGGGGAAUAUUGCACGAUGGGGGAAACCCUGAUGCAGCGACGCCGCGUGAAGGAAGAAGUAUCUCGGUAUGUAAACUUCUAUCAGCAGGGAAGAAAAUGACGGUACCUGACUAAGAAG
rnacentral:rRNA from 1 species